UACGUAGGGUGCGAGCGUUGUCCGGAAUUAUUGGGCGUAAAGAGCUCGUAGGCGGUUUGUCGCGUCUGCCGUGAAAGUCCGGGGCUCAACUCCGGAUCUGCGGUGGGUACGGGCAGACUAGAGUGAUGUAGGGGAGACUGGAAUUCCUGGUGUAGCGGUGAAAUGCGCAGAUAUCAGGAGGAACACCGAUGGCGAAGGCAGGUCUCUGGGCAUUAACUGACGCUGAGACGCGAAAGCGUGGGGAGCGGACAGG
rnacentral:rRNA from 1 species